rnacentral:rRNA from 1 species
GACGAACGCUGGCGGCGUGCUUAACACAUGCAAGUCGAACGGAGUGGCGAACGGGUGCGUAACACGUGGGUGACCUGCCCUGCACUUCGGGAUAAGCCUGGGCAACUGGGUCUAAUACCGGAUAGUGUUGUAUGGGCCCGCGGCCUAUCAGCUUGUUGGUGGGGUAAUGGCCUACCAAGGCGGCGACGGGUCGCCGGCCUGAGAGGGUGGACGGCCACGUUGGGACUGGGACACGGCCCAGACUACGACGGGAGGCAGAAGUGGGGAAGAUUGCACAAUGGGCGGAAGACUGAUGCAGCGACGCCGCGUGGGGGAUGACGGCCUUCGGGUUGUAAACUCCUUUCACCAUCGACGCGGUAGAUGGAGAAGAAGCACCGGCUAACUACGUGCCAGCAGCCGCGGUAAUUC